UGUGUGUGUGUGUGUGACCUGCUGCUCUCUUCUUACUCGCUUUCUUCUCCAGCAUUGCCAUGGAAGCUCCGUCUCUUACUCUUAACCUCCUCCUCAUCAUCAUUGUCUCUUUUCUCUUCAUUUCACUUCCGAGAUCUGAACCUCUCCCCGAAAACCCAUCCUUUGUUCUUCUUGGCGACGGAUUCGAACGGCCGACCUCUCACGGCGACACAUUCGACAUAGAAAGCUUUGACGAUGCGGGGGAGGAGGAAGACGACGACGUCGGUGUAUCAGAUCGACGGUCGUUGUACUGGAAAAGGAGGAGAUACUACGGCCCUGUUCGUUUGCUCACCCAUGUGAUCCAUCUGGGUGAAGAUGUAAAUUGAUGUUCGUUUUGUGCAUUAUAAUGCUACAUCCAAAUGGAUCACCCAGCUGAAUUUUUAAAAAUUCAUCUCAAAUACUCACCCAAAUGAAGGUGAGUCUUGAUGAUGCAUCUGGAUGCAGAUACAUCUAGUUCAGUCCAAAAUAAUAAAUGAUAAAAAUGACCUUUUAAAAUCAAAAUAUUAACAACACCCAGAUGAAACAUCUGGAUAAGACAUCUAGACGAACCAUCUAGAUGCAUCUUCCAGAUGUACAAACGAACAGGGCCUACAUUUCCUACGAUGCAUUGUCGGCGAACAGAGUCCCCCGUCCUCCGAGAUCUGGAAGGUCUUACUACACUCACAACUGCUUCCAGUUCAUACCUACACUCGAGGCUGCUCGUCCAUCACUCGUUGCCGGAGGUAGAACAAAAGAUCUGCCGCUUUGUCCCUCCACUCGCAUUUUCGUAAUAUUGUGUACAACCCUAAUUUAAUUACGUUUAAUUAAGACCGGGGAUUAUUAUUACAGUGCUAUUUCAUGUAUUAAAAUUAUGGUAAUUACCAAGGUCACGUGGUUUUUGGGUUUGUAAUUUUGCUACUCAACUUGUAUUAUCUUUUUGUCGGUGAGUUUUAAAUAAAUUACUACUGUAUUAAUUUUUGUACUGUUUUAUGAACUUAAGUCACAUCUAUAUUAG
rnacentral:lncRNA from 1 species